rnacentral:rRNA from 1 species
CCUACGGGUGGCAGCAGGGGGGAAUAUUGCACAAUGGGGGAAACCCUGAUGCAGCGACGCCGCGGGAGGGAAGAAGGAAGUCGGUAGGUAAAGCUCGAUCAGCAGGGAAGAAAAUGACGGUACGUGAGUAAGAAGCCCCGGCUAACUACGUGCCAGCAGCCGCGGUAAUACGUAGGGGGCAAGCGUUAUCCGGAUUUACUGGGUGUAAAGGGAGCGUAGACGGCAGGGCAAGUCUGGAGUGAAAGGCGGGGGCUCAACCCCCGGACUGCUCUGGAAACUGUACGGCUGGAGUGCAGGAGAGGUAAGUGGACUUCCUAGUGUAGCGGUGACAUGCGUAGAUAUUAGGUGGAACCCCAGUGGCGAAGGCGGCUUCCUGGACUGUAACUGACGUUGAGGCUCGAACGCGUGGGGAGCAAACCGGCUUAGCUACCCGUGUAGUC